UGGGGAAUAUUGGACAAUGGGCGCAAGCCUGAUCCAGCCAUGCCGCGUGAGUGAUGAAGGCCCUAGGGUUGUAAAGCUCUUUUGUACGGGAAGAUAAUGACGGUACCGUAAGAAUAAGCCCCGGCUAACUUCGUGCCAGCAGCCGCGGUAAUACGAAGGGGGCUAGCGUUGUUCGGAGUUACUGGGCGUAAAGGGCGCGUAGGCGGCCCUCCAAGUCGGGUGUGAAAGCCCACGGCUCAACCGUGGAAUUGCACUCGAGACUGAAGGGCUCGAGGACGGGAGAGGAUGGUGGAAUUCCCAGUGUAGAGGUGAAAUUCGUAGAUAUUGGGAAGAACACCGGUGGCGAAGGCGGCCAUCUGGACCGUAUCUGACGCUGAGGCGCGAAAGCGUGGGGAGCAAAC
rnacentral:rRNA from 1 species